CAGAACAAACAAACAAAAAACAGAAAGGAAGACUGAAAGAGAAUGAAAAGCUGGGGAGAGGAACUAAAAAUAAAGAAGGAAGAGUGUUUCAUUUAUAUCUGAAUGAAAAUAUGAAUUACUGUAAGUAAUAGAAUUAAUAAAAAUGAGCCAACUUUUUUUUUAACAAUUUACUUUUUAUUUCUAUGAAAAAAAUAAAUAUUCCUCUUCUAACAAACCCAUGCCUUAUUUUCAUUAAUUGAAUUCCAAAUCAUCCUAGCCAUGUGUCCUUCAAUUUAGGUUACUGGUGCAAAUCAGUAAGAAGGUUCUUAUACUCAUGCUCCAAAUAAUUCUGAAGUCCUCUUAGUAGCUGUGAAAGCUAGUGCUAUUAAGAAAGAAAAACAAAAUUCCCAAAAGAUAGCUUUCGUGUUUUUUUCUUCCUUAAAGACUUCUUAAUCCUCUUCUCCAAAUUCUUAGUCUUCUUCAAAAUAAUAUGCUUUGGUUCAAUAGUUAUCCACAUUCUGACAGUCUAAUUUAGUUUUAAUAAGAAUUAUACUCAUCUUUUGGGUAGUCAUAGAUAUUAAGAAAGCAAGAGUUUCUUAUGUCCAGUUAUGGAAUAUUUUCUAAAGCCAAGCUGCAAGUGAAGUUGUGCUCAAGUGAAUGAAUGUUCAGGAGACACAAUUCAGUGGAAGAAAUUAACUCUUUAAAAAAGACCUAGGAAUAGGAGAACCAUGGAAAUUGAGGAGUAGGCCUGCAAGUAGAUACUGGGAACAAAAUUAGAGAGGCAACCAGAAAAAGUCAUUUUAGGCUCAUCAGUGUUGUGCCUGUUGCAGAGUAACACACCAAUACACCAAAACAGCAGGUGUUGCAGUAGAGAAAGAGUUUAAUAAUUUAAUGGCAGCAAAUUGAGGAAGGUUGAGGAAACCUCAAAUCUACCUCCCUGCUGGGUCUCAGUUUAGGGUUUUUAAGAGAAAGGCAGGUAAGGGGGUGAAGGUCUGGAGCUGCUGAUUGGUUGGGGAAUAGGGAAUGAAAUGAAACAUACAGAGAUGAAAACUGGAUUCUUUUUUUUUUUUUUUUUUUGCUGAGGUAGUUCCAUGGAGAGGGUCAUCAGACUGACUGGUGUCAGCAGACCCAUGGGAUUCCAGGAUCUGGAAAAAGUUUUAGAAAGAAACUUGAUGUUUCUUAAUGUUACAUAUAUUAUCUUAUAGAAAUAACUAAGGGAAGUUAGUGCCUUGUGACCACGUCUAUGUGACUUUUAGGCAGAAAGAAACUAUAAGGAAAGGAGCUAACAGUCAUGCUAUAAGUAGCAGUAAGGAAUUGGCUUAAAGGGCAAGCUGGUUAGUACUUAGCUGUGCUUUUAUUCAAAGUCUACCUUUUAUUUAGUGGUUAAUGUUUGCUGUUCAUUAGGAUGGUUUCACAGUUACCAUACAAAUGUGGAAGCAACGGGUCCAAAAAGUAGGGCAUGAUUUUCUCCAUGUAAUCCAGGGAAAAACCAAGCCUUGGCCAUUGUUGGUUGGGAGACUGAAGGUGAUUGAAGGCUAACCAUCAUCCUCACCAACUUUUGGAUCAUAAUUCACCCAUUCCUUUGGUGGAGCCUGAAAAAAAUCUGGGCAGAAUGUAAGACUUUUUAUUUUGUUUAAAGGGGUAACAGAGUGUGCCCUUAUGAAGGAGAUGGAGACCCUGCAAGGAAGAGAAGGAGUAAAGGAGAGAUCAAGAAAGAGAAACAAUGAGGAACAUUUAAUUUGACCCAACAUCCUUUAGGAGCAUAAAUGUUGACACUAAGUUCUCCUUUUUGUGCUAAAAUGGACAGUAUUAGCAAAAUGACUACGUGCAUAACAAUGACACCACAGCUUCUUAUCCUCUGGCUCUAUACUGCUUUGGAAACACUUAAACAUCAAAUGGAGUUAAAUACAUAUUUGAAAUUUAGGUUAGGAAAUAUUGGUGAGGAGGCCUCAAAAAGGGGGAGACAUCUUUUGUCUGGGAGGAUAUUUUCCAUUUUGUGGAUUUCCCUGAUCUUUCUCUACCAACCUGAGUGGUAGUGGGAAUUAUCGUUUUGCUACAUUUUAGAGGUCAUCCAGGAUUUUUGA